AACGAACGCUGGCGGCAUGCUUAACAUAUGCAAGUCGAACGAGACCUUCGGGUCUAGUGGCGCACGGGUGCGUAACACGUGGGAAUCUGCCCUUUGCUUCGGAAUAACAGUUAGAAAUGACUGCUAAUACCGGAUGAUGUCGAAAGACCAAAGAUUUAUCGGCAAAGGAUGAGCCCGCGUAGGAUUAGGUAGUUGGUGGGGUAAAGGCCUACCAAGCCGACGAUCCUUAGCUGGUCUGAGAGGAUGAUCAGCCACACUGGGACUGAGACACGGCCCAGACUCCUACGGGAGGCAGCAGUGGGGAAUAUUGGACAAUGGGCGAAAGCCUGAUCCAGCAAUGCCGCGUGAGUGAUGAAGGCCCUAGGGUUGUAAAGCUCUUUUACCAGGGAUGAUAAUGACAGUACCUGGAGAAUAAGCUCCGGCUAACUCCGUGCCAGCAGCCGCGGUAACAC
rnacentral:rRNA from 1 species